GGCGCGAUCUCGGCUCACCGCAACCUCUGCCUCCUGGGUUCAAGCGAGUCUCCUGCCUCAGCCUCCUGAGUAGCUGGGAUUACAGGCAUGGGCCACCACGCCAGCUCAUUUUGUAUUCUUAGUAAAGACGGGGUUUCACCAUGUUGGUCAGGCUGGUCUCAAACUCCUGACCUCAGGUGAUGCACCCGCCUUGGCCUCCCAAAGUGCUGGGAUGACAGGCAUGAGUCACUGCGCCCAGCCCCACUUCACUUCUUUGGAACUAAGGUGCACUUGAAUUUGUUUAUAGUCGGCUGCCUUUUUAAGAUGGUCACCUCCCCCAAGCAGGCUAUUUGGCUCAUUCCAGUGUCCCUGCUGGUGGCUAGACCGUCUGGCCUGGAGCAGAGCUAGGAAAGUACUUGCUGAACAAAAGACAAGCAAAGCAUGCUUGAGAGAAUGAGAGCUGAAUUUUUUUUUUUUUUUUUUUGAGAUGGGGUCUUGCUCUGUCGUGCAGGCUGGAGUGCAGUGGUGCAGUCUCGGCUCACUGCAAGCUCCAUCUCCGGGGUUCACACCAUUCUCCUGCCUCAGCCUCCCAAAUAGCUGGGAUUCUAGGCAACUGCCACCACGCCCGGCUAAUUUUUGUAUUUUUAGUAGAGACAAGGUUUCACCAUGUUAGCCAGGAUGGUCUCCAACUCCCAACUUCAGAUGAUCCGCCUGCCUCGGCCUCCCAAAGUGCUGGGAUUACAGGCGUGAGCCACUGUGCCUGGCCCCGAGAGCUGUAUUUUUGAAACCACCCUCACACAGUCGUAUUUCACAGAUUCUUUUCUUUAUUUUUUUGAGAUGGAGUUUCAUUCUUGUUGCCCAGGCUGGAGUGCAAUGGCACGACCUCGGCUCACUGCAACGUCCGCCUCCUGGGUUCAACAGAUUCUCUUGCUUCAGCCUCCCAAGUAGCUGGGAUUACAGACACCCGCCACCACACCUGGCUAAUUUUUUGUAUUGUUAGUAGAGACGGGGUUUCACCAUUUUGAUCAGGCUGGUGGUGAACUCCUGACCAGCCGCCUAGGCCUCAGGUGAUCCACCCACCUGGGCCUCCCAAAGUGCUGGGAUUACAGGCGUGAGCCACCGCACCUGGCCACGUUUUUUUUUUCUUUUGCCAAAUUUAGCACUGGAGGAUAGGAUACCAAAGUUGACACUAAUAUUAGGUUCUAAGAACCCACUACUAUCGAGCCAGCUUUUUUUUUUUUUUUUUUGAGAUGAGGUCUGGCUCUGUCGCCCAGGCUAGCCCUGGAGUACAGUGAUGCAAGCACAGCUCACGGUAGCCUUAACCACUGGGGCUCAGCGGAUCCUCCCACCUCAGCCUCCUGAAUAGCUGGGACUAUAGGCGUGCUCAUUGCUGUUUUAGAGGUGUGGUCUCACUAGGUUGCCCAGGCUGGUCUCGAACUCCUGGCUUCAAGCAGUCCUCCUGCCUCAGCUUCCCAAAGUGCUGGGAUUAUAGAUGUGAGCCACUGUGCCUGGCCGUAUUUAACAAUUCUUUUAUUUUCCAGAGAUUGGCCAACAUCAUUUGCAUUCAUUUAAACUCCUUUCUGAGUGAAAUUCCAUUAAUCUAAGAUCUAGCGGUGAGUGCCAAGGGAAUCACCUGACUUUCGAUCCAUGAUCUUACUAGACACGUCAUAUCCUGCCCUCCCCACCGCCGCCGCCGGAAGACUUGGAGCCUCUUACUGUCAAGCCACGUGAACACACUCCAGGGUCGGACCAGAAUCUCUUUAACAAUUGUUUGGGUCGGAGAAGAGGCCUAGGAAGAAGCCAUAAAAGCGGACUCAUUUGAAGCCCCAUUACCAUAAACAUCUUGGAGUCUCGCUCUGUCGCCCAGGCUGGGAUGCAGUGGCACGAUCUUGGAUCUUGGCUCACUACAACCUCCGCCUCCCAGGUUCAAGCAAUUCUCCUGCCUCAGCCUCCCAAGUAGCUGGGACAACAGACACCCGGCUAAUUUUUGUAUUUUUAGUAGAGAUGGGGGGGGGGGGGCGUGGUCUCACCAUUUGGCCAGGCUGGUCUUGAACUCCUGACCUUGUGAUCUGCCCACCUGGGCCUCCGAAAGUGCUGGGAUUACAAGCAUGAGCCACCACGCCUGGCCCAAGAGACUCAUUUUUAUCAAGAGACUGGGUGUUUGUUUCCCUACUUUUUAAGAUGCUGCUAAUAAAAGUUUUCUAUUAUUCACUGAAUUGUUGAUAACCAGCGUGGUUCAUCAGGUCUCAAGUAUUUGUGUUUUCCUCAAAAGACUCUUUUCCAUCUAACGCUGAUCUCUUGGGCAGUGAACUAGGAAUGCAGGAUUUUAUGUAUUUAUUUAUUUUGAGAUGGAGUCUUGCUCUGCUGCCCAGGCUGGAGUGCAGUGGCGCAAUCUCGGCUCACUGCAACCUUUGCCUCCUGGGUUCAAGUGAUUCUCCUGCCUCAGCCUCCCCAGUAGCUGGGAUUACAGGCGCCCGCCACCACACCCGGCUAAUUUUUGUAAUUUUAGUAGAGAUGCAGGGGUGGUCGCACCAUGUUGGCCAGGCUGGUCUCGAACUCCUGACCUUGUGAUUUGCCCACCACUCAGAUGAUCCAUCUGCCUCAGCCUCCCAAAGUGCUGGGAUUAUAGGAGUGAGCCACCGCACCCAGCCGAAUGUAGGAUUUUAAAGAUAGCAGAGAUGAACCGGACAAGAUCAUAGUCAGCUGUUGAGGGUUGAGACCAAACUUUUUGCCUGUGGAUUUUACAGCCUUUCAAACAAGGACAUUGUGAGAACGGG
rnacentral:lncRNA from 1 species